GUAAUUCCCUGUUUACAGGCCCGGAGUGCAGGAGCAGCACCGCUGAGGCCGCGUCUGGGUGGUGAGGCCCGCGGUGGGCUCCAGCAGCCCUGCACGUUGUCCCUUCCGGGCCUCGGCCUGCUUUCGGGGGCCGCCGGGCCGGAAGCUGGGGGGACUGGCCUGGCCGCCGCUCCUGCCGUGCCUCCCGAGCUGGAGCCCAAGUCUCGCGGGAAGGGAGCGGCCUCCGUGUGUGCUGUUCAGCGCUGCGCUGGCCCAGAGUUCCUUCAAGUUGUCUGGCCGAGGCCACCGAAGGCCGCGCGUGUGCUGGAUGCCUGUGAAGGGCCGCCCCUGAGCCGGUGACAGGGGCCUCCUGCUGACCCUCGGUGGUGACCAAGACAGCGACUUGGCUCAGAGCUCUCCGGACCCCACCGUCAUGUCGGGAUCCACGCAGCCUGUGGCGCAGACCUGGAGGGCCCCUGAGCCCCGCUACCCGCCCCAUGGCCUCUCGUACCCAGUGCAGAUCCGGUCCCACACGGUAAGGGGCACGCGCCCUGUAUGCCUGGGGUCAGCUUAGGGGCUGCUGCCACCCGGUCCUUUCUUCUCUCUGAGUGAGGCUGGUGUGGCCGCCACACAGGGCGCUUGACAGGUGGUGUCCUGGAUCCUGGGCAUUGAAUACAAGUCCUGGGUCACAUUUUAAUCCGGGAAGGUGAGCCAGGUAGUGCACGCCUGUCCUCCCAGCUGCUCUGGAGGCUGAGGCAGGAGGAUGGCAAACUGGAGCCUGGCCUGGGCACUCAGCAACUUGGUGAGACCCUGUCCCUAAAUAGUCAGGACGGUGAGGCUGGGCCGGGCCGGGCUGAUCGGCAGUGGGGUCCUGUGUGCAGGGCGGAGCACCUGGUGUGAGGCAUAGUGGGAGCUGACGGCCGGCCCCCAGGUGUGCCCGUGUGCCUGCAUGCGUGCCUGUGCCUGCGUGUGUGUCUGCCCUGCUCAGUGCUGUGGUCCUCCCCAGGGCCUGGGCAGGCAUUUCUGCCCCGGGCGGGACGUGUGCACAGAUGGCCCAGCCUGGGGCCUCCCGCAUGCUGUGGCCUCCACAGCUUUGGGCCUCAGGAUGUGUUUCAGAGUCGAUGCCGUGCGUGGACGCAUUUGCUGGCUGGAGACUCCCCUUGGUUGGACUGUGGGAGACACACGGCAGGCAGCCAGCUCGCUCCUCAGCCUGUUCUGCGGGCGAGCAGGUUGAGGCAGGGAGGUUCCCUGACCAGCCUCAGGUUAAAUCACUGAUAAGGCAGUUGCCCGGGCCCUGGGUGUCAGGUCUCUGUUGUUGAGCACCUGUGAGCGCCCCAGGCUGAGGAAAGUACUCUCUGGAUGUCACUGUCACCUUGUCACACCCACCACCACCAACACUAAGAGCCGUCCUUAGGCGCCCGCUGCUGUUGCUGUGGCUGUCCCCCGCUUUCUGUGUACGCGUCCAGGUCUCCUGAGGGCUGAGCUCUGACCUGAGGUCCUCUCGGCAGUGCCCGGCACUGUUGCCCUGUCCCUCUGCUGUUAGUGCUACUUGUCACUGUCACCCUGUCCUGCACGGCUCCUGCCCUUCACUACCCUCCGGCUCCUGCCCUUCACUACGCUCCACCGUGGGCCCGGCCUCGGGGAGCCCUGGGCCCUUGGCCCUGCCCUUUGCCCCCGCUGUGUCCUCUGCCGGGUGCUAGCGUCAGCUGACACCUCCCACUGUCGUGCUGGCUGUCGGUGACGCAUGACGUGUGUGGACAGGACCUGGGGUCCCCGCCCCUCCUCUGGCGCCCACACUGUCCUGUGGGCAGUGGCGGGUGUGCAUAGUCCCUUCCUGGGCAGCUGCCUGACCCCUGACCCCACUGUCUGCUGUGGGGCACCUGGGAACGAGAGCCGGGGCUCUCAGGCCUGAGUCCGGGCCCAGCUGGCCGCUUCCUGCCGUUGGUGUGAGCGAGCAUCAGGUCUGUGGCUGGGAAGACGGAGAUGGAAGAGGGGAAAUCAAGGCACAGCCUACGGGCACAGUUUCUCCAGGGUGAGGUGCCGGUGGGGAUCAGGUCACCCCACGUGGCCCUGACAGGGAGUGCCCGGGUGCUCCAAAAGUGAGUCCUCCUGGAGCCCAAGACUCCUCGGUGGCACUGAGUCACGGUUUCUGCCAGUUUCUGCCAGGCUGCUCCUUUAGUGGAGUGCGGCUGCCUCAGUUUCCCCUCUGGCCCUUCUGCUGGUGCUUUGUGGGCAUUGGCUCCGGGCUGAGGGCAUGCUGUGCCUAGUGUGGCUGGGAGGUGGAUGUGGGGAGCACUGCUCAUGGGGACUGGACCCCGAGACUUUGGAGAACCCUCCCGGCCUCAGCCUCCCUCAGACAUGGUUUGAUGUAGGGGACUCACCCUGCCCAGCCACAGACCCUGUCUGGGCCCCGUUCUCUCCAUCCCACGGGAUCAGGACCCUGGGUCUUUCCCUGGAUCGAGGGUUCAGUAACAAACCCCCUGGUUUUGUUUUGGUGGAGCCCAGCGCACUUGGCCCGCCGCUGUGUCCCUCUUGGGCUUCCUAAGACGAGCUGGAUUCCGGGACCGCUGAGCUCGCCUCUUGCUCUUCUGAGUGGGGCUGAACGGACCUUGUCCAGAGCAGAGACACAGGGCCGGGUCCCUGAGCGCCCCUCCUGCCAGGUGGCCUUGGGAGGUCACUUCAGCUGUGUGUCCAUGGCUUGUCCUAGCUGCAGGACAAGCGGCCUCGCCACCCCGGGCCUCGGUUCUGUGUCACUUGGGCGAGGACAUUCGCUGGGUGUGAGAGCAGGUGGGUGAUGUGGCAGCUGUCCUUGUGAUGCUGAGGACCACCUGCUACCAUCAGAGCAGCGCAGCCCUGAGUGUCCUCCCUCUGCUGCCCUGAGGGCCCGGCAUGGCGUCCCCGGUGCUGGGUGGGUCCUGUCCCUGCAGUGUCGGCUCUGCUGGCUCUGCUGUGCGCCAGAGUGGGGGUGGCCCUGCACCAGUGGCACUUGAAGCCGCCUUGGCCUUGGUCUUGGGCCCUGGUGCUGACCCCGGGGAAAGACCCGCCAGGCUGAUUCGCAGGUCACUGCGCCAUGAGGUCCUGUGGCAGACACCAGGGCAGGUAGCACUACUUGGGCUGAGCAUGGGCCCUGGGAUGGAGCCAAGUGGACGCCUGCAUAGGGCCCCUCCUGAACUGGGAAACAGGCCAGAGCCUGCAGUGGCCUCCCACGCCCUGUGCCAGGGCCAUGCACCGCCCAUGCCUCUUGGUGCCUCGGCUGGCAGCGGCAGCAAGCGGACAGUCUGCCUGUUCCCGCUUUGCUCAUUUUGCUUUUGCGCGGAGAGCCUGUGGGGAGAGCGCUCCUGCUGGCAGCUGGCUUAGCCUGCUGCUUUCCUCUCGCACCUCCGCCGCCCGCCUGCUGCGGAGGAUCCGUGCCUGGCAGCCUGGCACGUCCCUGCCGCGUCCUCCUGCUUCCUGCCGGCCGUGGGCACCGGCGCCUUGUGCUAGACACUGUGGGGGCUCAGCUUCGGGGUACUGAGGCAUCAGAAGCAUGUGAGAGGCCCCUCUGUCUGUGCCAGGAGCCAGGUGCCAGGUUCCAAGCCAAGGAUGCUGCGGCCCGAGGUCUGAGCACGGCCCAGCAGGUGCCUCCUCCGAGGCCCUGCAGCUUUCUGUCCCCGCCUCCUCCACACAUGUUCUGUUGGAUCUGAAAUGAAUCCAUUCUCUUCACACCUACCUGGUGUCAGCUUGGUUCUUUUUGCAGAAGUAACUGCUUUCAUCUAAAAAGCCAGACAACAAAAGAAUGGCAAGAUUUUUACAGAAAAUUGGGGAAAUUGUAGCUCUGCAGAAAAAAAUGAACCAAGCAACAAAACAGCAGGAAGCGGUGCCAGGAGGAAACUUGAGUCAUCUGCCAUCCCACCUUCCCACAGCCGUGCCCGUGUCAGACAUCACUAAUCGCUUGCCCCACGCAGCAGAACUGAGUGUUCCAGACAGAUAGAACUCAUCAGCUGGGGCUGGUACACCAAGGGAACCAGUGUUGUGCUCUUGUUGAGAGGCUUGUUUCUGUCUUUUUAAAAAUAUUUUCUCCGAAUACUUGAUAUUUCUCAAGCCAGGGUGUACCUGGUGACAGGGUCCGCCUGAUUGGUUAGUGUUUGCCUUCACCCAGAUGGUAAGGGGUGUGCUAGAGAACAGAUCGUGCUGCUGUGCAUUAAAGCGUGUGGACCUCCUCCAGGGACCUCACCAUCGGGUCGGGAUGGCAGAGUAUGGCCUGGGUGUCACUGGAGCGUGCAGUGAGCUCUCACCGAGCAUGUGCGAGGCUCCGGGUUACAUCUCCAGGCCCAGAGCAGAGCGUCCAGGGCAUGGGGAGCCGCCUGCAGCGUAGCCAGACCUUGGUCUGUGGGACGGACGACUCCUCUGUGCCCACUUUCACUCCGCUUCCUCCCAGGACGUUGGGCUGCUUGAGUACCAGCACCACUCCCGGGACUAUGCCUCCCACCUGUCGCCUGGCUCCAUCAUCCAGCCCCAGCGACGGAGGCCCUCGCUGCUGUCCGAGUUCCAGCCCGGGAAUGAACGGUAAGCCGGCUGUGGUGUCCUCACAAGCCCUCCUUCACUCCCCCGUCCCUUCCUCUGGCCGGCCAGGAGCGUGCUGCCAUCUGCCCCGGGCUCCAGCAGCCUUGUGGCCUCGUCCAGGCAGAAGGUUGCGCAGGGGUGUGAAUGAUUGAGCCAGAGCUUCUACUGCGGCCAGCUGAGAUGUGGGACAGUGUGUCAGCCAGGUUUUUGUUGCUGGGAUACAAUAC
ensembl:lncRNA